rnacentral:rRNA from 1 species
AGAGCGAACGCUGGCGGCAGGCUUAACACAUGCAAGUCGAACGGACCCCUCGGGGUUAGUGGCGGACGGGUGAGUAACACGUGGGAACGUGCCUUUAGGUUCGGAACAACACAGGGAAACUUGUGCUAAUACCGGAUGUGCCCUUCGGGGGAAAGAUUUAUCGCCUUUAGAGCGGCCCGCGUCUGAUUAGCUUGUUGGUGAGGUAAAGGCUCACCAAGGCUACGAUCAGCAGCU